UAGCUAAAUGCGGAAGAGAUAAGUGCUGAAAGCAUCUAAGCACGAAACUUGCCCCGAGAUGAGUUCUCCCUGACCCUUUAAGGGUCCUGAAGGAACGUUGAAGACGACGACGUUGAUAGGCCGGGUGUGUAAGCGCAGCGAUGCGUUGAGCUAACCGGUACUAAUGAACCGUGAGGCUUAACCUUACAACGCCGAAGCUGUU
rnacentral:rRNA from 1 species